GGAGGUUGGCUUAGAAGCAGCCAUCCUUGAAAGAGUGCGUAAUAGCUCACUGGUCAAGUGAUUCUGCGCCGAUAAUGUAGCGGGGCUCAAGUACACCGCCGAAGUUGUGGCAAUCAGCUUUUUGUGGCUGGUUGGGUAGGGGAGCGUCCUGCACGAGGUGAAGCUGCCACGGGAGUGUGUGGUGGAUUGUGUGGGAGUGAGAAUGCAGGCAUGAGUAGCGAAUCACGGGUGAGAAACCCGUGCGCCGGAUGAUCAAGGGUUCCAGGGUCAAGUUAAUCUGCCCUGGGUUAGUCGGGGCCUAAGGCGAGGCCGACAGGCGUAGUCGAUGGAGAACGGGUUGAUAUUCCCGUACCAGUGAAGGACCGUCCAUACUGAUAUUGUGAUGCUAACCAUGCCGAUCACGGUGUCAUGAAGUUUUUCUUUGUGGUGUUGUGGGGUGUGUGGGACCCAAGCUUUGGAGGUAAGCGUGUUAACAGGUGUGACGCAGGAAGGUAGCCAAGCCACGCGGUGGUUGUCGUGGUCUAAGCGUGUAGGAUGACUGGUUGUUAAAUGCGCCGGUUGUGUGUCUGAGACGUGAUGGGACCCCUUGUUUGUGGGGGAUUUGGUGAUCCUAUGCUGCCGAGAAAAGCAUCGGCGUGAGGUUUUAGCUGCCCGUACCCGAAACCGACACAGGUGAUCAGGUAGAGAAUACUAAGGCGAUCGAGAGAAUCAUGGUUAAGGAACUCGGCAAAAUGCCCCCGUAACUUCGGGAGAAGGGGGGCCCUGAGCGUGAUCUGCCCGUGCGGUGGGGAGCGUGUAGGGGUCGCAGAGACCAGGGGGAAGCGACUGUUUAUCAAAAACACAGGUCCGUGCGAAGUCGUAAGACGAGGUAUACGGACUGACUCCUGCCCGGUGCUGGAAGGUUAAGAGGAUUGGUUAGCCCUGUGUGGGCGAAGCUGAGAAUUUAAGCCCCAGUAAACGGCGGUGGUAACUAUAACCAUCCUAAGGUAGCGAAAUUCCUUGUCGGGUAAGUUCCGACCUGCACGAAUGGAGUAACGACUUCCCUACUGUCUCAACCAUGAACUCGGUGAAAUUGCAGUACGAGUAAAGAUGCUCGUUUCGCGCAGCAGGACGGAAAGACCCCGUGACCUUUACUAUAGUUUGGUAUUGGUGUUUGGGUUGGCUUGUGUAGGAUAGGUGGGAGACUGUGAAGCCAUCACGCUAGUGGUGGUGGAGUCGUUGUUGAAAUACCACUCUGGUCAAUCUGGAUGUCUAACUUCGGGCCAUGAUCUGGUUCAGGGACAGUGCCUGAUGGGUAGUUUAACUGGGGCGGUUGCCUCCUAAAGUGUAACGGAGGCGCCCAAAGGUUCCCUCAGCUUGGUUGGCAAUCAGGUGUUGAGUGUAAGUGCACAAGGGAGCUUGACUGUGAGAGUGGCGACUCGAGCAGGGACGAAAGUCGGGACUAGUGAUCCGGCAGUGGCUUGUGGAAGCGCUGUCGCUCAACGGAUAAAAGGUACCUCGGGGAUAACAGGCUGAUCUUGCCCAAGAGUCCAUAUCGACGGCAUGGUUUGGCACCUCGAUGUCGGCUCGUCGCAUCCUGGGGCUGGAGUCGGUCCCAAGGGUUGGGCUGUUCGCCCAUUAAAGCGGUACGCGAGCUGGGUUCAGAACGUCGUGAGACAGUUCGGUCCCUAUCCGCUGCGCGCGUUGGAGAAUUGAGAAAGGCUGUCCUUAGUACGAGAGGACCGGGACGGACGAACCUCUGGUAUGUCAGUUGUACCGCCAGGUGCAUGGCUGAUUGGCUACGUUCGGGAGGGAUAACCGCUGAAGGCAUCUAAGCGGGAAGCCUGUUUCGAGAUGAGUUCUCCUGGCACCUUUUGGGUGUGUGAGGCUCCUUAGAGAUGAUGAGGUUGAUAGGCCGGGUAUGGAAGCGUUGUAAGGCGUGGAGUUGACUGGUACUAAUAGGCUGAAGACUUAUUCAC
rnacentral:rRNA from 1 species